rnacentral:rRNA from 1 species
UAGACAUAUAGACAGAUCACGUAAAUAACCUUAAUAAAAAGACAAAACCAAAUGGCCCCUGUCGUGAUGUCUUUGGUUGGGGCGACCCCGGGGAAAUAAAAAACCCCCGAACGGAAUGAAGACACCUUAACUUCAUAAACAAGAGCCACAGCUCACAAAAUCAGAACUUCUGACCCAAAGAUCCGAUAUAAUCGAUCAACGGACCGAGUUACCCUAGGGAUAACAGCGCAAUCCCCUUUCAGAGUCCCUAUCGACAAGGGGGUUUACGACCUCGAUGUUGGAUCAGGACAUCCUAAUGGUGCAGCCGCUAUUAAG